rnacentral:rRNA from 1 species
GACGAACGCUGGCGGCGUGCUUAACACAUGCAAGUCGAACGGUGAAGCCCUUCGGGGUGGAUCAGUGGCGAACGGGUGAGUAACACGUGAGCAACCUGCCCCUGGCUCUGGGACAACCACUGGAAACGGUGGCUAAUACCGGAUCCGACCCGCCUCGGCAUCGAGUGUGGGUGGAAAGUUUUUCGGCUGGGGAUGGGCUCGCGGCCUAUCAGCUUGUUGGUGAGGUGAAGGCUCACCAAGGCGACGACGGGUAGCCGGCCUGAGAGGGCGACCGGCCACACUGGGGCUGAGACACGGCCCAGACUCCUACGGGAGGCAGCAGUGGGGAAUAUUGCGCAAUGGGCGAAAGCCUGAUGCAGCGACGCCGCGUGAGGGAUGACGGCCUUCGGGUUGUAAACCUCUUUCAGCUCCGAAGAAGCGAAAGUGACGGUAGGAGCAGAAGAAGCACCGGCUAACUACGUG